rnacentral:rRNA from 1 species
GUGGGGAAUAUUCCGCAAUGGACGAAAGUCUGACGGAGCAACGCCGCGUGAGUGAUGAAGGUUUUCGGACUGUAAAGCUCUGUUGUUUAGGACGAAAGUGCCUGUUGCGAACAGUUUCAGGUAUUGACGGUACUAAACGAGGAAGCCACGGCUAACUACGUGCCAGCAGCCGCGGUAAUACGUAGGUGGCAAGCGUUGUCCGGAAUUAUUGGGCGUAAAGAGCAUGUAGGCGGAGAUUUAAGUCUGUUGUGAAAAUGCGGGGCUCAACCCCGUAUUGCGAUGGAAACUGAAUUUCUUGAGUGCAGGAGAGGAAAGUGGAAUUCCCAGUGUAGCGGUGAAAUGCGUAGAUAUUGGGAGGAACACCAGUGGCGAAGGCGCCUUUCUGGACUGUGUCUGACGCUGAGAUGCGAAAGCCAGGGUAGCGAACGGGAUUAGAUACCCUUGUAGUCC